rnacentral:rRNA from 1 species
UGGGGAAUAUUGCACAAUGGAGGGAACUCUGAUGCAGCGACGCCGCGUGAACGAAGAAGGCUUUCGAGUCGUAAAGUUCUUUUAUAUGGGAAGAUAAUGACGGUACCAUAAGAAAAAGCCCCGGCUAACUACGUGCCAGCAGCCGCGGUAAUACGUAGGGGGCUAGCGUUGUCCGGAAUUAUUGGGCGUAAAGGGUACGUAGGCGGUUUUUUAAGUCAGGUGUCAAAGCGUGGAGCUUAACUCCAUUAAGCACUUGAAACUGAAAGACUUGAGUGAAGGAGAGGAAAGUGGAAUUCCUAGUGUAGCGGUGAAAUGCGUAGAUAUUAGGAGGAAUACCGGUGGCGAAGGCGACUUUCUGGACUUUUACUGACGCUCAGGUACGAAAGCGUGGGGAGCAAACAGG